rnacentral:lncRNA from 1 species
AUCUGGACACACACCCGGGAUUUAGGCCUGCCAAGCAGCCAUACUUACCAAACCAGUCCAAAAGAGAAAGAACAAGACUAGCCACGGUGUAUCGGUGCAUUUUCUAUAAAUUUGGGGUCGCCAUUCUCUUUGCCUUGUUUUCUCUGCAGAAACCUUCCAGGAAAACGGAGAGUUGAGAAAAGCAAGAGAAACAGUUAGGUGAAAUCAACCGAACCGAAACCUCAGCGAAGGGUGCUAAAGCAACUCAACUCUGUCACUGGGGAAGAUCAGCUCUCUGCAGGAUGGAUGUGAAACCCCCCCGGGGGCCAAGUUCUUACUGGAGGACAGAGGAGCCGGAAGCGUCCUGUCUGUGCAGGUAGGUGCCCGCAGAGGCCGCUUCUCUCAGGGCUCAGGUUGUCGCCCUUACCAGGUACUCGGCGCCCAAGCACUGCAUGGUACCGGGCAGCUGGGAUUGGCGGCGGCGGUGGUCGCCUUGCACACGGGACAGAGGUGCGGCGACCCGGCCAAGUGGCCCAGGAGGGGCGGGCAGGGCGAGCAGGGCUCAGCGCCUCCUAGCGGUCCAGGGCGCUGGUCCCCUAGACCCGCCCUUUCCGUGGUGGCUUUAGGCUGGGAGGACCUGCUGGGAGCGGGGGUGGCACCUGCGCAGCACCGGUUCCCAGGAAGUGCUCCUGACCACUGUGCGACGCCUGGGCCCGUUGCCAGCGCCUGGAGUUAGAAGUGAGGCCUCAGGGAUCAUUCCUGAGGGCGGGGAGCUUGCAGGGGUGUGUCACACACAGGUAAGUGGUGCUUUGUGUGUGCAGAAUCCUGCCCUGAAAGGUUCACCAGUUCUCUUCGAGGCGCAUCAAGUUGCAAUCUGUUGUCAUCCUUGAGCUAAGAUCAGGGAGACUGAGCACUGAACAGCAAUGGCGACACUCUGUCUAGUGUCUACCAUUCCAACUGCUAUUUCUACAAGGCUGAAUCUUCUCCAGCUGGACACCCUUUGAAGCAUAUCCAGUGUGAAUGUCCCUGGCAAGAACAGUUUUCUCUUCAACAUUCAGCUCUCAGGACCUUCCUGAAUGCAGGCUUCUCAGAACGAGUAGCUGGAUUUCCAGGAGGCCCUGAAUUCAUCCUCUAGAGUCCCCCUUUCAAGUAGACAUUUGCACAACUACAGAAAGAGCACAGUUUAGCCACAGCAUCUCAAACAAAUUAGUACCAGAACCGAUGGAUGGAGAGGCUUAAAUACACACGGCAUGUAUAUUUCUAUUUACUGUGAUGAUUACGAUAGUAUCGAUGAAGCCGGAAAAUAAAGAUGAAGCAGAACCAAAAAGCUCUGUUAGACAUGGAGAAUAAAAUGAUCAGAAUGACAGCUUAUUUGGCUCCACUUAGUAACAGUGUGGAUUAAGCCAGGGAAGAGAUGAGGCAGAAGCUGAGUAAGAAGGAAUGGCAGUGUUUGCGUGACAAUCACAUCUCUUGUCACAUCUCGUCACAUCUCUUGACCUUUGGAUAUAUGACCUGAUGAAGAAACCUCCUACUUUCAUCCACCACGUAUCUGCACCUGUCUCUUAGAUGUCUCUUACUCAAGUCUUUUAUGGUGCACACCGGUCUUCAGAAAUCAUUUUCUCCUUUCAAAGUGUGAAGACAAUUCUUUGUGUUUCCCUGAAACCUGGCCCUGAGGGUUGUUAUCUGGAGAUGCUCAUUGGAGAAAAUACCACAUGGUAGAUGUGUUUCCUUGUAUAUGACCCAAGUCGUAACACUGAGAAGUGCCACUGAAUGCUUUUAGUGCCCUUUCUUAUGAAAUAGUAAGGUGUCAGAGUGGGAGAAAUAAUUCCAAGGCACCUGGAAAUUCCUUCCCUACGUCUUCUCCGCUGAUCAAUCCUAUUUAGUGUCCUAAAUAGACAAACCAAAAUAAAAUUUGAGUAUAUACAGAAGGAAAACUUAAAACACCCUGAAAGAAAACUCGUGACUAAUAACUCCGUCAUUAGCUAUGAAUGCCCACUACUGGAUCCCAUUUGAAUCAAAGGCCUGGGAGCGAGGAAGAGCUGAAGCAGGGGGUUUGGAGAUUGGGAGAUGGCAUAGGACAGAGACCUGUAGGACAAAUGUCAGCCUCUUGGUGACCCCAGACUAGCACUUUCAUUGUCGAGUUGGGUAAAUGUCACGGUUGGCAGAGCUCAUUUGUCUACUCUGAAAUGUGAGAGAAGAUUUGCUCUCCAUGACUACUGAAAAACAAGAAUGUCAUUUGCUUUUGCUUCUUGCCAAAUAUCUAAUAUACAUCCCAUUAGCAAUUAAUGUAUACAAAUGCUUCUAGAAAGACAACUUGUGAUUGAUUUCCUAAAGUCUUGCUGCAUUCCGCUGUGUUUCGCUGAGCCUUUCAUGGCUGUGAUAGAUGCCCACACAAACAUCGACUUAGAGAAGCAAAGAUUUAUUUUGACUGGAGGCUUCACUCUACCGUGGCUGGAGGGUUUAGGGAACUAAAGAACUCUCUGUGAUGGCUGGAAAGCAAAGAGAAAGAACCAGGGGACUCUCUCCUUCUUCCUACUUGUCUCACCCAAGCCCCCUGCCUUUGGCUGGAGAAAGUCUACAUUCAAAGUGGGUGCUCCCUCAGAGUUAAUCCUUUCUGCAGGCAGAUAAACCCAGAGGAGGGCUUUCCUCCUCCCUGGCGUCCUUCCACUCUAUGUCGGCGGCAAGGUGAACUGUGAUAGCUUAGCCUUCUUCUCCUCUUCCACCCAACAGUUACCUUGUCUGUUUGGAGAAAAUGUGUACAGUUGCAAAGCCAGGCAAGCCACUAACCCCACUCACCACUUGGCUCUGAUUUAGAAAUUCUUACAUGGAGAUCUUCUCAGGAGAAUUUAUCUUGAAGUUUGUAAUCCAACAACUCCCCCCCCCCCCCCCCCCAUUCUUUGUGAAGUGAAGCCAAAAAGAAAAUGGAGAAAGAAGGAGGCAGGGUACAUCUUGGUACACACAGAGAAAGAGUAGCUAAUUGUUGUGAAUGCGAAAACCUAGGCUGGAGGGCUUUUCCCAGCUCUGAAAACCUACGAUUUAUAAAAACACAUGGCAUUUGUAUGAAAGCUAAAUUGCCAAAGCAAGUGAAUUUUAGCCAAAAGGGGAAAAAGUAGGAGAGAGAUGAUCAAUUAAAGAUAACACUUCUUCUUUGAAGAAAAAAGACUAGGAGAGAAAACAAACAAACAACCCGUAGGAUUCUUGUAAGGUCCACAGAACAGGGGUAAACUAUGCAUACUUUCUUAUUUGAAAGAUUCUAGGCAACUUCCUACCACAGGGCAGCAGAGCCAUUUCUGUUGUACUCUGCUUUUUCUCUACAGUUUAUUUUCCCUUAGUUCUACAAUACUUAUUUCCCCCUUAGUCCAUAUUCAUGUUUAACACAAGCUAUAUUAUAGCAUGAGUAAGAUUCCUUCCUAGGCCAGCCUUGAAAAACCCUGCCAGGGAGGGCUAAUGCAGUUACUACUUCCCAGCAGCAGAUGGCACUGUAAGCCAGUAGGUUUUUUUUUUUUUCCAUUGAUUCUGCUCUAGGUAUCUGUUCUUGUAUCUACAUUUUUUGUUAUUCACCUAUCAAAUAUUAUUAUUUCAAAACUUUUAAGGCAGAUUAUAUUCCAUGUAUAUACUUCAUUGCUGUAUGCUCCACCAAAACCUAUUAAACUGCUGUGGUUUCUCAU